GACGAACGCUGGCGGCGUGCCUAACACAUGCAAGUCGAACGGAAAGGCCCUGCGCUUGUUCGUUUCUCGAUUGGCGAACGGGUGAGUAACACGUGAGUAACCUGCCCUUGACUUUCUGAUAUCUUCAGGGAACUGCGGCUCAUAUCGCGUAUGAUCUCCUGCUGCGUGUGGUUCGUUGGAAAGAUUCGGCGGUUGGGGAUGGUCUCGCUGCUUAUCCGCUUGUUUGUGGGGUAGUUGCUUACCAAGGGUUUGACGGGUAGCCGGCCUGAGAGGGUGACCGGCCACAUUGGGACUGAGAUACGGACCAGAAUGCUACGGGAGGCAGCAGGGGAGAAUAUUGCAGAAUGGGCGGAAGCCUGAUGCAGCGACGCCGCGUGCGGAAUGACGGGUUUCGGGUUGUGAACCGAUUUCGCAUGAAACGAAGAGUGAGUGACGGUAAUGGGUCAAGAAGCCACGGCUAACUACGUG
rnacentral:rRNA from 1 species